rnacentral:rRNA from 1 species
AUUGAACGCUGGCGGCAGACUUAACACAUGCAAGUCGAGCGGGGUGAUGGUGCUUGCACUAUCACUUAGCGGCGGACGGGUGAGUAAUGCUUAGGAAUCUGCCUAUUAGUGGGGGACAACAUCUCGAGAGGGAUGCUAAUACCGCAUACGUCCUACGGGAGAAAGCAGGGGAUCACUUGUGACCUUGCGCUAAUAGAUGAGCCUAAGUCGGAUUAGCUAGUUGGUGGGGUAAAGGCCUACCAAGGCGACGAUCUGUAGCGGGUCUGAGAGGAUGAUCCGCCACACUGGGACUGAGACACGGCCCAAACUCCUACGGGAGGCAGCAGUGGGGAAUAUUGGACAAUGGGGGGAACCCUGAUCCAGCCAUGCCGCGUGUGUGAAGAAGGCCUUAUGGUUGUAAAGCACUUUAAGCGAGGAGGAGACUCUUUUGGUUAAUACCCAAGAUGAGUGGACGUUACUCGCAGAAUAAGCACCGGCUAACUCUGUGCCAGCCGCCGCAGUAA